UACGCAUUACAAUCUUUUAUAUACAAUUAGAUACUCCUAACACAACUAGCAAAGCAACUAUAUAACAGUAAACUACUAUGCUACACUAUUAAGAUACUCCUAACACAAGAAGCAAAGCAACUAUAUAACCGUAAAGGACACUACGCUACACUAUUAAGAUACUCCUAACUCAGCAAGCAAAACAACUGUAUAACAGUAAACUACUAUGCUACACUUUUAAG
rnacentral:lncRNA from 1 species